rnacentral:misc_RNA from 1 species
CCGAGUGUAACUACUCACCAACCCAUGUGAACAUACCUUCUGUUGCUUCGGCAGGUUCGCCCCGGGCGCUCUCUACGCGUGCCCCGGAACCAGGCGCCUGCCGGGGGAUUGAAAUUCUGUCUUUAUAGAGGAUUAUCUGAGUGGCUCUUGAGCAAAUAAUCA